AAAACAUUUUACCCUUUCAAGCACUAAAGUUUGCUCUUACACUGACUGAAAAUUUACAGAAGGGGCCUCUGCUUGCUCCAAACCAAACAGGACCUGGUUGCCUUAGCAGGCCUUGGGAGAUGCCGAAUCUCAGAUCUACCUUAGUGACCUACACACGCUCCCAGGACUGGAAACAUAUCCUGGUGGCCAACAGUGAUAGCAGCGAUUCCUUUAUUCUGGGUAACCUUUCUGGUACUCUCCAUUAGCUUGACUUACUGUUUUUUCCCAUCUCAGUUCCUAAUCCUGAAUGUACCUGUGGUUUUUAUCCCAGCCAAUCCAAACCUUCCUAAUACACUUAUCAGUGCUAACAGAACUCUGUUGCAGAAGUGAAGUUCCUUUUGGGCAUCACAGUCAAUUUAUCUUGGCUAUAGUGAUUUAUAGUUUAAUGGCCAAAGUGUACCAGAUAAAAGCUUUCGGAAUUAUGACUGGGUUUUAUUCUUGGCUUUCUAGCUUAUUGCUGUGUGGAUGCACAGUGAAGCGGUAUAGUCCCAAACUUUGAGAAGAACAGAGACAAGAUAUCUAUAGAGAUUGAUACUAAACCAUUUUCAGCUCUAACUGCAGCCUGUUUUCUAGCCUGUAUCAGUAACUGGGUUCACAUGCUGAGCUGCAAAAAAAUAUGGGAAAUUCAUGUGCAAAGAGUUUACUAUUUAAUUUAAAGCAAUACAGUAAUAUAAACUGUAAAAAGUAGUUAGAAAAUUCUCUCUUCUUCCCACACAGAUGCAGUUAACUUCCUAUAAAAGAGGGAGGCUUUAAAAAAAAGUCAAGAAGGACUAAUCUAAGAAACAAGUGUGACUUAAAAACAUAUUUAAUAUUAAGAACACAUGAAGAGAGGGAUAGAAUUAACAGAAUGUCUAAUAAGUAUGGACCUUAGAGUAGGAGCUUUGUCUAUGGACUAUACAGUGGUAAUACUAACAGGAAGGUAAAACUGGAAGAAGCCACCUUAACAGUGGGGAUUCCUUAAAAUCAUGGGAAACCAUGCAGCAAAUGCCAAAGUCAGGGAAUGCCUAUACUUCCUACACAGUGUCUGUGGCAGCCUACAAAGGCCUAGUAACUUCCUAGUACUCUAUAACAAACUAGAUAUGUUGUUGAAGACCUAAAGCCCACCAAAAGCUGAGAAGAGAGGAGGAGAGCACCACUAACAUCCUAGACCUUUGCACAAACCAAAUAUUUGAAUCUACUAGAUGAUGCUAAGAAGUAGAGCCACCUCUUCUACAUGUCAUAAGGCCCAACUACAGCUAAUGAGAAAUGGAAAAAUCCUAAGCCAAUACAAAAAGAGUAAACUGUGUUCUCAGAGGAAGUGUAAAGUGCAUUCAACAAAUGCCCUUUCUGUUCAAGAAUUAAUUUCAACAAGUGAAAGUUAGCCUGGAGUUUUAAAAUUAUUAUUAUGAAUGUGGCUGGAAGUCAAAACAUUCUGGUUCACGUCAGGUAAUUUUGAGUAACCAGCUAUAGAAGCAAGCUUUUUAUUUCUGUGAAAAAUAAUUUUUUUCUGCAUGAACUGUGAUAAAAGAUUAUUUCUGCUAUUUGCUUUUUACUGCUUGUGACUCCUACGAUAAAUUAUUCUGUAGUCUCCUUUACACCCUCCAGCCUUGAUAUCAAUGGGAAGUUGUACAAAACUGUAUUGGUCAAUAUGUAAUGUAGGCAGAGCUAAGCAAGGUUCUGGGCACACUGGGAAUGAAAGAAAGGGUCUAACUGACCUCAUCAGAACAUGAAAUCAGAAUGGCUUGGGUUGGAAGGGACCCCGAGGAUCACCACAUUCAAGCCCUGCUGUCACAGGCAGGGCCACCAACCUCCAGAUCUGGUACCAGACCAGGCUGCCCAUGGUCCCCUCCAACCUGGUCUUCAACAUGUCCAGGGACAGAGCAUCCACAACCUCUCUUGGCAGCCUGUUCCAGCACCUCACCAUCUCUCUGUGAAAAACUUCCCCCUGACAUCCAAACUAAACCUUCCCUGUUUGAGCUUGACACUAUUCUCCAUUGUCCUAUCACUAUCUACCCAAGUGGUAUGAAAUGAGUAAUAUGGAAUGAAGACAUCUGUUGUCAGUAACUUUCUACAAAGCUUUUUGGGUAUAAUUACCGCUCUAUUAGUCCUGUUUUCAUCAAUUAAGAAGCCUGUAGGAUGUUCUAGUGCCAUCUGCAAAAUGUAGGAGGCAGCUGCUAUUGCAAGUUCUUUUCUGCAAAGGCCCAAAUCUGCUAAGCUGCUUCAUACUAGGCUGAAAGAAAGGGAAAAGUCUGCAGGAGGCAAUUAAAGAAACAUAGAUGGAAAGAGGCCUUCAUUUUAGCUGCAGAUCACAGCACCUGUUCUGAGGCUUUUCACAGAUUCUCCUCUGGAUAGGACUCUUGUGGAGGGAGAAGUGAGAGGCCCUGUUGCUCAUUAAUGGAAACACUGCUGCCUGUGCUCCAUGUGAGAACACCCUAAUAUCAUCCUUCAGGCAGAAGCAGACUGGGGCCUUUUUUACCUGGCUGUACUGUUCCCUCGAUGGUGUGAUUCCCUCUGGCAGAGAGGUGAUGCAAGAUCAAUAGGAAGGAGUCCAUCUGUGGCCUCAAAGUCUCUUGGUUAAAAUGAGAGCAGCUCCCUCUUGAGAAACCAAUGUGCUGCAGUAACACAAAGAAAGAGCUGAUGGCUGCUGCUUCCAAGACUGUGUCAUGGUAGACCUUUUCAACAACACUGAUGGGUCUGGCAAUGAAAACCUGCUUUCAAAUAUGGUCUCCCUUGUGCUGCAACUCUUGCACUGCCACCAUUUUGUUAAUGCAUAACAAAAACAGGCAGUAAAGUCAGCUCUCUGCUCCUUUAAGAUUUAUUUGAUGUUUGCAAUGGGCUUUAUACCUGAUUUGCUGUCACAAUAAGCUAAGUAAACUCUUCCAAA
ensembl:lncRNA